rnacentral:rRNA from 1 species
GAUGAACGCUGACAGAAUGCUUAACACAUGCAAGUCUACUUGAUCCUUCGGGUGAUGGUGGCGGACGGGUGAGUAACGCGUAAAGAACUUGCCCUGCAGUCUGGGACAACAUUUGGAAACGAAUGCUAAUACCGGAUAUUAUGUGAGUUCGCAUGAAAUUCAUAUGAAAGCUAUAUGCGCUGCAGGAGAGCUUUGCGUCCUAUUAGCUAGUUGGUGAGGUAACGGCUCACCAAGGCGAUGAUAGGUAGCCGGCCUGAGAGGGUGAACGGCCACAAGGGGACUGAGACACGGCCCUU